UACGUAGGGGGCGAGCGUUGUCCGGAUUUAUUGGGCGUAAAGAGCUCGUAGGCGGCUUGGCAAGUCGGGUGUGAAACCUCCAGGCUCAACCUGGAGACGCCACUCGAUACUGCCAUGGCUAGAGUCCGGUAGGGGACCACGGAAUUCCUGGUGUAGCGGUGAAAUGCGCAGAUAUCAGGAGGAACACCGGUGGCGAAGGCGGUGGUCUGGGCCGGCACCGACGCUGAGGAGCGAAAGCGUGGGUAGCGAACAGG
rnacentral:rRNA from 1 species